ACAACGGUGUCUUUAGACACCACCAUUGCUUUCGGAUGCUCUGUU
rfam:Picea glauca, whole genome shotgun sequence.